GACAGAGGGGGCAAGCGUUGCUCGGAAUUACUGGGCGUAAAGGGCGCGUAGGCGGGAUGGCAAGUCGGUCGUGAAAUCCUUCGGCUCAACCGAAGAACGUCGAUCGAUACUGCUGUUCUUGAGGGUUGCAGAGGAGACUGGAAUUCCGGGUGUAGCGGUGGAAUGCGUAGAGAUCCGGAAGAACACCGGUGGCGAAGGCGGCCUGCUGGGCAGUUGCUGACACUGAGGCGCGACAGCGUGGGGAGCAAACAGG
rnacentral:rRNA from 1 species